rnacentral:rRNA from 1 species
GACGAACGCUGGCGGCGUGCCUAAUACAUGCAAGUAGAACGCAGUUGCGAACGGGUGAGUAACGCGUAGGUAACUGCCUCAUAGCGGGGGAUAACUAUUGGAAACGAUAGCUAAUACCGCAUACUGUGAGAUGGACCUGUGUUGUAUUAGGUAGUUGGUGAUGUAAAGGCUCACCAAGGCGACGAUACAUAGCCGACCUGAGAGGGUGGUCGGCCAAACUGGGACCGGGACACGGGCCCAACUCCUACGGGGGGCAGCAGUAGGGAAUCUUCGGCAAUGGACGGAAGUCUGACCGAGCAAAGCCGCGUGAGUGGAGAAAGGUUUCGGAUCGUAAAGCUCUGUUGUUAGAGAAGCGGUAACUACACAAGAAGGGCCGGCUAACUACGUGCCAGCAGCCGCGGUAAUAC